UCAUAACAUAAAUAUUCAUUUCAUUUAAAUAAUCAACAUGGCUUAUGAGUAUCUUAAAAGCAUGGCUCCUGCCAAAAUCAUUCUCGAGAAUACCUUGGCCGAGGCAUCUAAUCAAGUCUGCCAAGGUUGUUAAAAAUUUCACAUACAUGUAAACAUAUUUUUAGUUUGAAAAACACAGUCGUUCCUUGGCGUUAGCAGAGUUCAUCAUCACGAGGUGGUUCGGCGUGACGUCAACUCUAACCCUACCUCAGAAGAUACCCUACACGUCUCUCCGAUUUAGGUACGUAUAUAACCGAAUUUUGUGCCCCUCUAAUAGCUGGUCCACAGAACCAGCCCACUGCAGCAAGCUAAACCCACCAUACAAUAAAAAUUCAACAGCAUGACAUGGCAAUUUUAUCAUUAUCUAGCCUAUCAAGGCAAACAACAGUUUAUACAUUUUCAACUCAAAUACCAAUUCAGUCAUUCAUGCCAAUAUUGCCAUAAGCCAAUCAAUUAGAACCAUAAAUUCACAAUACAUCAAAUGGUCUCCAAUUACUCUAUUUUCAAAGCCGUCAUUCAAUUUCAAGACAAUUUAUAAAAUCAUUUCAUUUAAACACAUUUUGUUUAUAAAACCUAAAAAUUAACCAUUUAAACUCAUUUUCCAUAAAAUUCACAAAAUCAAAUAAAAAGAGCACUUUAGAUAAUUAAAAUGAUGAUAAGGUUACUCACUAUUUCCGGAGUCAAAUUUUUAUAGUACUCUGACUAUCGAUCCUCGGGUACAAUUUCUUUGCCCUUAUCAGAGGAUUCACCACCUAGACAUAAUGCACAAUCAAGCAAUUUACCACAUUGGUGCUAAACCAUUAUAAAACUAUAUGGAUGCAUGAAAUGGAAUGCAAAUUGUUUGGAUUAUCGUCUAAACACGGUGUUCUACACAAAUUCAAUUGUGUACCUAAAUAAAACGGUAUUGGCCUAAUUCGAUCUAUCACUCAAUUAAUUGGCCAAUAUGCCCAAUUCAACUCCAAUUAACUCCAUUUUUCUUCCAAUUCUCUAAACCAUCAAACACAAGUCAAAUAGCAUAAAAGUUAGCAAAAUCAUCUUCACAUUUUCUCUUGGGAAUUUCGGCCAUGGUGGGUGCAUCAACACUAUGAUUUUCCUACUUGAUUUUCUCACCGCAAUUCAUCAUUUCCUAACCAAUUCACUUGAAAUAAAAUCAAAUCCACCAUCCACACUCUACAUGGAAAAUUUGGCCAAUGAUGGGUAAUGGGAGGAAGUGAAUUUUUCUUGUUGGCUCUUCAUGCUACACAUCACUAACUAUCUAAAAACACUAAAAUACAUUGAAAUCUAACCAAAUCAAGCAUCAAAACCUCCCUCUAAGUGUUCGGCCAGCAAGGGAUUCAUCAUGCUUUCAUGUGAUUCAACCAUGGAAAAUAAGAAAAAAUGCUUAAGAAAGAGAGAUCUCAAGCUUAAAUUGAAAAAUCUUACUUUUUUUCACUUGUUUCCUUGAAUUUUUUCACCUAGGGUUUUGUUCUUCCUUUUUCUUGCUUCUUCUUGGUGAGG
rnacentral:lncRNA from 1 species